GGUCAGCUUCGCAAGUGCAGUAGAUGUGGUGUUGGUGGUCAUAAUAGAGCAACUUGCAAGAUGCCAAUAUAGUCGAUUUGUUUGUUGUGUUCUUCACAAUUUAGUGAAAGCUUUUCAGACUUCAAUUGCUUGAUUUCUAGUAACUUUGUUUCCGUUUGUGACAACUUUGUUUCAGUCUUUCAGACUAUAUUUGCUUGAAUUUUAGUAACUUUGUUUCAGUUUGGGAGAACUUUGUUUAAUUUUCAUGAUGUAUUAACUUGGUUAGAAGAUCUGAGUCAAUCGAUCCCUUUAACAAACUGUGAUGUCCGAUCCGUCGGGAUCGAUCAAUCUAUAGACUAACCGGUCGAUCCUGAUCAAUAUGCAGAACAAACAAAAAACACGGACUAUCUUUUGAUCGACCUGGUACAAUUCUCUCGAUCGGCAA
rnacentral:lncRNA from 1 species